UACAGAGGGUGCGAGCGUUGUCCGGAAUCACUGGGCGUAAAGGGCGCGUAGGCGGCCUGAUAAGUAGGGGGUGAAAUCCUGUGGCUUAACUGCAGGGCUGCCUCCUAGACUGUUAGGCUCGAGCACGGUAGAGGCAGAUGGAAUUCCCGGUGUAGCGGUGGAAUGCGUAGAGAUCGGGAAGAACAUCGGUGGCGAAGGCGGUCUGCUGGGCCGUUGCUGACACUAAGGCGCGAAAGCGUGGGGAGCGAACAGG
rnacentral:rRNA from 1 species